UCCGCGAAAUCUAUUUCAGUAGAGCGUAUGAUGUCGAUGGCCCGAGGUAGAGCACUCAAUGGGCUAGGGUGGCCUCAUUUCGCCUUACCAACCCCAGGGAAACUCCGAAUACAGGCCUAGAUCGUUUGUACAGACAGACUUUUUGGGUGCUAAGAUCCAAAGUCGAGAGGGAAACAGCNAGUAAAGCACUCAAUGGGCUAGGGUGGCUUCAUUUCGCCUUAUUUGAUAUUCGUAUAGGA
rnacentral:ncRNA from 1 species